CUCUCUCUCUCUCUCUCUCUUAUUCUUGUCUGAGUUGUCUUAUCCCAAGACUCCCAAUGUUCUCAGACCCAAUUCACUCAACUCUCCCCUCUCUAGAAUUCGAGCCUCGACCUCGAGGUCUCUAUCCCGACUCCGACACCGCAUCUGCUCUCCUCAAGGCCGACAGACUCUUUCUCCAUCGAAUUCCCAACUGGAGCACUCGUAGAAGGCAAUGACUCUCUCCUCCCUCGAUCUCUCCUUAUCGAAUCUCCUUUCCUCUAUCAUCUCAGACCUCAAUCUUGAGCCUAGGCUCUCAUAUCCGUCCAUCGACUAUCCACACUUUCUUGUUCUCCCUCCCACCUGUAGUGACUGAGUCGACCUCGACUAUGUCGACAUCACAGCAGCCAACCACCAUCAUCGUCUUGGCAUCCUCUCCUGACUCUCCACUGAUCCUCCCAAUCAUAAGUUCUGACCACCACCACAUCAUCCUCGUCGUCGAGAACACCACCAUCAUCCUGCAAAUCCCUAGCGAGGGUGAAGGUCUUGGAUCUAUGAGGAAGACAACGUCUCUCUAAUUCGAUUUGUACGUCAGGGUCUACGGCUUCAACCGAAGAUGUUGGUGUGGUUAGGCUCAAGCACGAAUUGCAGACUUAAUGAGGUUGUCCUUUCUAUGGCUGACCAACAAAAAAAAAGAUAUUGGACCCGUGGACCCAGCCUGUUUCAGCACAUUUCAAACGAGCAGGGUUAGGUCCGGUUCCAAAUUCUCAAAACCUAUUACCCGACUUGGCCGAUCCUGUUACUAUUUACAACGGGUAAGGUCCGAUUCCUUUAAAUUUGGGCCCGGUCCGGCCCGUGCCCACCCUUACCUUAAACCCUUGGCCAUGUUCACAUAGUCAAGUCUUCAACAACAUUCAUUCUUCAAGUACCCAAUAUUUCUUGUUUGUAUUUAGGGACAACAACAACAACAAUAAUAAAGUCUUAUCUCACGAAAUGAGGUCGGUUUUAUGUAUUCUAGAACGCUACUAUGCUCGGUUUUGCGCCAAGUCUUCAUUUAGCACAAAAUACUCUCUUUUCUUAAAGUCUCUUUCUAAGGGAGGUGUAGUCAACUUAGAUUUCAAAGAAUUUUAAUAGACUAAGUGACACAGUUUAAAGGAUUUUAAUAGACUCUACAAUUUUAUAUGGA